ACGCUAGCGGCAGGCCUAAUACAUGCAAGUCGAACGAUAUUAUCCAGCUUGCUGGAUAUGAAAGUGGCGCACGGGUGCGUAACACGUAUGCAACCUACCUUAAUCAGGGGGAUAGCCCGAAGAAAUUCGGAUUAAGACCGCAUAAAAACACAGGAUAGCAUUAUCCAAUGUUCAAAUAUUUAUAGGAUUAAGAUGGGCAUGCGUGACAUUAGUUAGUUGGCGGGGUAACGGCCCACCAAGACCACGAUGUCUAGGGGAUCUGAGAGGAUGACCCCCCACACUGGUACUGAGACACGGACCAGACUCCUACGGGAGGCAGCAGUAAGGAAUAUUGGUCAAUGGAGGCAACUCUGAACCAGCCAUGCCGCGUGCAGGAAGACAGCCCUCUGGGUCGUAAACUGCUUUUAUUCGGGAAUAAACCUACUUACGUGUAAGUAGCUGAAUGUACCGAAGGAAUAAGGAUCGGCUAACUCCGUGCCAGCAGCCGCGGUAAUACGGAGGAUCCAAGCGUUAUCCGGAUUUAUUGGGUUUAAAGGGUGCGUAGGCGGCUUUUUAAGUCAGGGGUGAAAGACGGUGGCUCAACCAUCGCAGUGCCCUUGAUACUGAAGAGCUUGAAUGAACUAGAGGUAGGCGGAAUGUGACAAGUAGCGGUGAAAUGCAUAGAUAUGUCACAGAACACCGAUUGCGAAGGCAGCUUACUAUGGUUAAAUUGACGCUGAGGCACGAAAGCGUGGGGAUCAAACAGGAUUAGAUACCCUG
rnacentral:rRNA from 1 species